CUCCCACCAUGGAUCUGCGUUUGGUUAAUCUGCCCUUCAGGCUAGACAUAUAAACAAGUAAAUCUUUGUAAACGAUGUAAUAUUUUAAAGACACACUCCGCCCGACACCUCCACACACCACCGUUGGGGGCAGAGGCUGAGAGCGCAGGGAGAGUCCAUCAUUUCCUUCUGGAAUCUUCACCGUCUCUGCCUAUGGGAGGCUCUGAGGGUAAACGCUCCAGGAGCUCUCAAGUUCUGGGAGAACCUGGCUUCAGGCACUUCCGGGCCUUGAGGGUUUGUCUGCUGAGGAUGCGUGGGUGGCAGUACCCGGGACACAGUCUAGGUCACCACCCAAGUCUGCAGACCUGACCUAAUGGGAGGGAAGCCUUUUCCAGAGCUGGCACCAUGUUCUUCAACUUGCAACACUGUGUGAAAUAAACUUUUUCUUUUUUAAAAAA